rnacentral:rRNA from 1 species
UACGGGGGGGGCAAGCGUUGUUCGGAAUUACUGGGCGUAAAGGGUGCGUAGGCGGUGCUCUAAGUCGGAUGUGAAAACUCUGGGCUCAACCCAGAGCCUGCAUCCGAAACUGGAGUGCUAGAGUUCUGGAGGGGGUAGCGGAAUUCCUGGUGUAGCGGUGAAAUGCGUAGAUAUCAGGAGGAACACCGAUGGCGAAGGCAGGUCUCUGGGCUGACACUGACGCUCAUGCACGAAAGCGUGGGGAGCAAACAGG